rnacentral:lncRNA from 1 species
CAGUGGUGGGUCACUGAGGAACAAAUGCACAUUUAAAUUAAAUUUUCAUUCUUUAAAAUAUUUACAAGUAAAUCUAGUCAUUCUUACUUUUAGUAGUGGAGUCACUAAGGAACAAGUUGUCCUCACUUGUUCCGAAACUGUCGGAUGAUAAACUUUAUUUAAUUAGCUGAAAUUACAAGUUUGUCUCAUUGGAUUAAUCAAAUACAUAAAUUCAAGUUCAAAAUUUAUUUUAAAAUCACACAUUUCAUUCAUUUAUAAUUUAUUAAUUUGAUUGCAUAUUAGAUGUCUGAAACCCAGUUGAAUCCAUUAAAAGAUCUAACUUAAAAUUUAAUUUGAUUUAGCCAAAAUAUGCAACUUAACAUUAAAAACUAAUGAAAAUUAUAAGGCAGGGUUAUUUGCAUUAUAAAAAUUAUUCGGAACACCUUUUCUUAUAAAUGUUAUAUCAUAAAAUACCAUAGUUUAAUUUACUAUUAAGAAAAAUCUUAUGUAAUUAAAUAAAAUACACUACUCGCGAUCCUAUUCUCAAACCCAUAGAGCUCAUUCGUUAGCAUAACGAGACGUCUCUAAGUAGUUUGUAGUUUAUGAGUAGAGAGAUGAAUAUACAGAACCUAUGAAUAUGGGGCCUUAACCUAAAGUAGCAUAGGCAUCAUCUUAACCAGCUCGAGAGUUGAGAUAUUCUAUAGUUGUAUCAAUGAAAGCCCCAAUCGGAAAUUACGUUAAGUGAUAUGAUGUUCGCCGCCCACUCAAUUAAAAAAAAGAAAAACCCUUGAGAGACCCCAAAAAAAACUGGUUAAUAAGGUGGUUAUAAUCUCUUUUCCAAUGAACGUAAAAGCAUGAAACUGAAAAGCAGAUCCAUUCUAUUCAUAUUCCUUACCACGAUUGUUUUGUUUACUACAUCAACAUAUACCCUAAUUUUUAUUUUUCUAAUUUCUUUGAUAUGCUUCUUGAAGCUCACAUUAUAAUCAGUUCUUCAUCAAAACAAUCCAUACCACCAACUUAUUCUUCUCAAUAAAAAGAAAGCAAAAUCCCACUUUCAAUAUGCAAAAUUGAAAAUACAUAUUGAAUAAAGUUAAGGAAAAGACUUUAUAAAGGAAAGCAAAGGUCAAAGGAGGUUUAUCUGAGGUCUGCAUAUGUAAGAAAGAAACCAAUUAUGGGAUUUGUUUGUUGAUUUUGGGAGGAGUACGGAGAGCCAAUAUCAUCAUUAAGCAGACAAAAUGAUAAGGAGCUAAUACCAUGUUCUUGAUCUUUAGAGGCAGUUCUUGCUUUCAUCUUUAAAUUGAUUGUUGUCGCCUUGGACUUCAUCGGUGUUUAGAGGUACUUGCUUUCAUCUUCAAUUGACUGUUGUCACCUGGGACUUCAUCGGUGUUCAGAGGGGGCGUUAUUUGCAUGCGGUUGACCAACGGGCGUGAAAGUCGGUUGCUGGGCCUCGACGAUUGCCUGGAUUUAUGCCUUUGUGGGUGGUUGGGAUUCAAUUUGUUUAUGAUUUGAGAAUUUAUGGUAGAAUAGGUCUGUCUUUUAAUUAUUUAUAUUUAAAUUAUUAUUUUAAGUGCAAUCCGAUUGGGUUCAUCUGGAUCGGAUCCGAUCUGAAUCAAAUCUGAUUGGAUUGUAAAAUUUCUGUUCAAUCGAGUUUGGGGAUCGGAUCUGAUCCGAUGCCCACCCUUACAAAGUACCACGUGCAAGUCGUUACAUAUUAAAAAUGAUUUUAAAUGUUUUGGUUUAUUGUCCAUAGUCAUUAUAAUAUUGAUCAUAUUAUAUGAUAUAUAUGUUAUGAUUACUUGGUUUAUAUUCUGAGUGUGCACACUUUAUUGAUAUUUUAACUCUGCUUCUAAAUGGGUCACCAAGAGUAUAAGGGAUACUAUAUGAUAUGACUUAUGAGUUAACCUUUUACUUUCCGUGUGUAUAUGUUACACAAUUUGUUUUCAUGAUUAAUUAUGCUUUUAAUAUCCUUAAUCACUUAUGAAUUUAUGUCAUUUUGUAAAACUUUUGUUUCUAAACUAUGGUUUAAUAAAAAAAGGGCUUGCAAUACUUUUGAGACCUAAUAACCCUAGUGCGUUGAGAAUAUCUUUACUUACCGAGUUAAGAACUUGCCCCUCGUCAUUUCUUUUUACAAAUUGAGUAGCUUGCUGUGAGUUCAUUGUGAUUACAUUUGGAGACUUUUGUUUAUCUAUUAGAGUUGGGAGACGAUUUUUUGUGUUGGAGUUGUACACAGAAUUUUUUGAUUGAUUUGAAUAAAAUUUAAGGUUUAUAUGUUUGAGAUUUUUCUGUAAAGAUUAUGAUUAAUAAGUAACCUCCUACUUUAUCACGUGCUCCACACAUGUUAGAUUUCGAGUGUUAUAUAAUCCCACCUAGAGCUAAAUCUAUCAUUAAAAAGCAAAACAAAAAUAUCUAAAAUCAUAUAUCUAACCUUAAAAAGCUAUGGUUUCCCAAAUGUAAAGAAAAAUACUAAUAAGAUUGUAAGAAUAAUGAAGUAAGGUUUUUCCUUCAAUCAUCCAUAAAAUUUACCCUCAUUUAUAUGAUUUUUUUUAGCUACGCCAUUGCUUACUUAAUAUAUUCAUACGAUAAUGUGGAUUGUGAUAUAGCUAUUAGGCAUACUGAUGCUAAAUGCCUCUUUAAAAUAUAUUUGUUUGUAUUUGUAUGGAGUUUUCUUUUCUUUUUUAUUUUUAAAUAAGAAAAAAAAAACUACUUGGUCAGUGCUCAUGAUAAAUAAUGAGAUUAGUCUUGAAAGAUAAAUGUACAAAAAUAACCCUAAAAUAUAUUAACAACGUACAUCAAAUGAUCAUAUUUAUAAAAAUAACUAAUUCUCUAUCUGUUAUAGUUGAUCUAAUUAUUAUAAGUACUUAUUUAAUCUGAUAAACCCUCAUCAAAAUUUUUAUUGUUGUUUAGUUAUUUUUCAAUAGAGUUUUUAAAGAUUAAAUAAGCUAUUUUGUCUUUAUUAGUAAAAUGUUAAAUUUUAAGUUUUUAGGAGUAGAUGUUAAAAAGUUUUUUUAAAUGUUAAAAUAUCUAAAAUAUAUUUUAUUUAUUUGAUAAUCUUAUUUUAUUAUUUUUAUAAUAUAGUUUUAAAAAAAAUAAUACCUAUUAAAGUAAUUUUAUAAUUUUUAAUGAAAACUCUCAUUUUACAAUUAAAUAAUUAAAAGUUUUUUAGAUGAAAAUUCUAUUUAUAAAAAUUCUUAUAAAAAUUCUACUUAAAUAAUUUUUAAUUAAAAAACUAUACCAAACUGAGUCUAAGGGCCGUUUGUUUUUUUGACUUAAUGACUUAAUUGACUUUAUUUUAAGAGUAAUAAUAGAGCCACAAAUUCUUGUACAAACUUAUUUUGUACAAACUCAUGUGGCAUGAUAAGAUUGGUUGAAUUAAAUAUCACUUGGCCCACAUGAUUUGUUUUUAUUAUUUUAUAUUUUUAUUCAACCAAUGAAUUAAUGUCACGUUAGUUUGUACAACAUAAAUUUGUACAAGAGUUUAUGGCUGUAUCAUCACUCUUAUUUUAAUCAGUUAAGCCAUUAAGGGGCCGUUUGUUUUUUUUUUUUACUUAAUAAUUUAAUUGACUUUAUUUUAAUUAGUUAAGCCAUUAAGUCUAAUUUUUUUAACUUAGGGGCCGUUUGUUUUGUUUAUUUAAUGACUUAAUUGAAUUAAUUUUAAUCAGUUAAGUCAUUCAGUCUGUUUAUUUUUUCAACUUAAUGAAAAUUAUUUUCAACCAUUAAGUCAUUAAGUUAAUCUAAUUUUUUUAGCUUUUUACUUAAUCUAAAAAGUUUGAAUGAUAUCAUUAAAAAAUAUUCUCUAAAAUACCCCUAUCUAAUUAAUUAAUUUUGAGUCAUUGAGUUAUUAAACUAAUUUUUUUAAAUUUUUUUACUUAAUCUAAAAAGUUUGAAUAAUAUUAUUAAAAGAUAUUUUCUAAAAUAUCCUUAUCUAAUUAAUUAAUUUUUAUCCUUACCUAAAUAAAAUUAAAUAAUUAGCAUUAUUAUCUAUCUCUAUAUAAUUUGUGAUAAUAUAUACUGGUAAAUUAUUAUUUUUAUCUUUUUAUUUUCUUCAAAUUAACAUUACUUAUCUUCAUAAUUUUUUAUCAAGAUUUUUCGUAUAAAACAUUAUAAACUAUAGUAAAAUUGAUUAACAUAUAUAAUAUAAAAUAUUAAAUCUAAUUUAUUAUUUUAUUUGUAUUCUUUAAGAUACUUAUUAUUUAUUUAAUAUUUAUAAUUGUAUGAAUAUAAAUAUAAAAAUAUUAGUUUUUAAAUUUUUUAAAUUAAAAAAUAAAUAAUUUAUUAUUUAUUUUUAGUGAUUUAGACAAUAAACAUAUCAUUCAAUUAUAUUCCUAAUUCAGAAUAAUUCAUGUGUAUUCUGAUUUCAAACAAACAAAUAAACGCCACGUAAGUGUGAUUAUAAAAGAUAGAUUAACAGCGUUCAUCCUAUGUGAAGGUGAUGGAGGAUGGUAAAACUUAGAUAUUCUCCGAGACAAAAGCACAAACAGAUACAAGGUGAGCUCUGAGCUGGAAAAAAAAAAUUAAAAAAAUGGCAACUUACAAUUACAAAGCGCUUGACUGCAUCACCAGCUGCGACAUUGAAGCUCUGGGGAUACCUUCAAAGCUUGCAGAGCAGCUUCAUGAAAAGCUCGCCGAGAUCGUUAACACUCACGGGGCUGCCACUCCCGCCACGUGGCAGAACAUCACUACCCACAUCCUCAGCCCUGACCUUCCCUUCUCCUUUCAUCAGCUGUUGUACUACGGUUGCUAUAAAGACUUUGGACCCGACCCGCCAGCUUGGAUACCCGACCCGUCAUCCGCCUUGGCCGUACAGCAGAUGAAUAUAAAUAUAAAAAUAUUAGUUUUUAAAUUUUUUAAAUUAAAAAAUAAAUAAUUUAUUAUUUAUUUUUAGUGAUUUAGACAAUAAACAUAUCAUUCAAUUAUAUUCCUAAUUCAGAAUAAUUCAUGUGUAUUCUGAUUUCAAACAAACAAAUAAACGCCACGUAAGUGUGAUUAUAAAAGAUAGAUUAACAGCGUUCAUCCUAUGUGAAGGUGAUGGAGGAUGGUAAAACUUAGAUAUUCUCCGAGACAAAAGCACAAACAGAUACAAGGUGAGCUCUGAGCUGGAAAAAAAAAAUUAAAAAAAUGGCAACUUACAAUUACAAAGCGCUUGACUGCAUCACCAGCUGCGACAUUGAAGCUCUGGGGAUACCUUCAAAGCUUGCAGAGCAGCUUCAUGAAAAGCUCGCCGAGAUCGUUAACACUCACGGGGCUGCCACUCCCGCCACGUGGCAGAACAUCACUACCCACAUCCUCAGCCCUGACCUUCCCUUCUCCUUUCAUCAGCUGUUGUACUACGGUUGCUAUAAAGACUUUGGACCCGACCCGCCAGCUUGGAUACCCGACCCGUAAAUAUUAUUUAAUUCCAUUCAGUUUAUUUCAACUUUUUCUUCAUUAUUGUGAGUUUUGUCAUAUAUUGAACUUUUGCAUGUAUUGAAUGAUAGCUUGUCAAGUAAUUUUUUGAUAAUGCUUUGGGAAAAUAAUUAUGACUUUUGAUGGCUUCCGGUGAAAUUUGGAGUUGAUUCAAUCAGAAUUUAUUGUUUGGUAAUAGUGAUAGUAGAACUUAGUUCAAGAUUUUCAGCUGAUUCUAAGUUUAUUUCAGUGUAACUGUGAUUCCCAAAGCCCAAUUGUGUGGAUUCUAUUGUUUUAGGAUUGUCGCAGAGGAGCUAUUGAAGCAAGUGGAUUAAAUAUUAACUAAGUACGAGAAACAAGGAGCAAUUUGAUUAUUAAAACCUAAGAAAACAUGCUGAAAUGCCCAAUUAAUUGAGUGGUAAACUUUUUACAUGCUAAAAAAAUGAAGAGUUUUUCAACGGCUGAAGAGGACAAAAUGAAAUUUGGAGUAUUUUUAUGCAAAUUCGUGUUUCUUUGCUUCUUUUCUUAAUUUAUACUGUUUAUAUGAAUAUUAAAUUGCUCUCUUUAUCUUUUUGUUGUUUCAAAUUAAUGCCUUGUUGUAUGGGUAGGGAGGCUGCAAAGGUAACAAAUGUUGGAAAAUUAUUACAGACGCGUGGAGAAGAGUUUUUGGGUUCAGGCUACAAGGAUCCCAUAUCGAGUUUUUCCAAUUUUCAGGAAUUUUCUGUCUCAAAUCCUGAGGUAGUAGUAGUACUAAUAUAAGCUUAAGCUGACAUUCAUAUGCUGCCAUUUAUUACUUACAUACGGUUUCUUAUCUCUUCAUAUGUUAGGUGUAUUGGAAAACUGUCUUGAAUGAAAUGAGUACAUCAUUUUCGGUACCUCCUCAAUGUAUUUUACGAGAGAAUCCAAAUGGGGAAAAUCACUUGUCAAACCCGGGUGGGCAAUGGCUUCCUGGAGCAUUUGUAAAUCCAGCAAAAAAUUGCUUGAGUGUAAAUAGUAAAAGAAGUUUGGAUGACAUUGUAAUAAGGUGGCGCGAUGAAGGAGAUAGCGGUCUGCCUGUGAAGAGCAUGACACUUAAGGAAUUGCGUGCUGAGGUUUGGUAUGGUAUUUUUCAUCUAUAUGCUGUAAUUUUUAUUUUAUUUUUGUUCAAUCCAUUUAUAGAUGCUUCACUGAUUGUAUUAUUAAAUGAGUUGUGGGCUUAAUUGAAGAUUAUUUUGUUGCUAUAAACAUAGUUAACUUUAGUACUGCCACAGAAGAAAAUAUAGUUUUCUUCAAAAGGCAAGUAAUUAUUCUAAUUAAAACAUGGUUUGUCCUCAAGUAGACUGAAAUUGAUAUGUUACAGAAGACAAAAUAGUUUUUUCAUUUGUUGCAGUGAUUUUGCAUUAUAAGUGAGAAUUUAUUUAAUUUGUGAUGUUUCUACUAUUCUUUUGUGAAACUUAUACCAUUUUCUAAAAUGACAAAAAGUUUUUCUCGUUGCUAUAUAUUGUAGGUUAGUUGCAUAUGCACUCAAUGCCCUGGGUUUGGACAAAGGAUCUGCUAUUGCAAUUGAUAUGCCAAUGAAUGUCAAUUCUGUGGUUAUCUACCUAGCCAUUGUUCUGGCAGGUUAUAUAGUUGUCUCUAUCGCUGAUAGUUUUGCAUCACUUGAAAUAUCAACGAGGCUUAGAAUAUCAAAAGCGAAAGCCAUAUUUACUCAGGUUAAAAUCCUAUUCCUUACAACGGACAAUAAUUUAUCUCAACUUCUUGGUUAUUCAUGGAAAUACUGAGGCUCAAGGUGAAGCCUCUAAGUUGGUUUUGGUUAUGACCUAAUUUAUGUGUAAACCUUAUUUUUUCCAUCUUAUUAUGUCAGGAUCUAAUCAUUCGCGGUGACAAAAGUAUACCCUUGUACAGGUGAAGCUUUUGUUUCUGUCUAGCCAAAUACAUAUACUUGAAUUUCUGUGGUUUCCUUUUCAUUUUUUGUCCUAAUUUUUCUCAAUCUUGAGCUUCGAUUCUGCAGUAGAGUUAUCGAUGCCCAAGCUCCUUUGGCGAUUGUUAUUCCUGCCAAAGGUUCUAGCUUCAGUAUGAAACUGCGUGAUGGUGACAUUUCUUGGUUCGAUUUUCUGGAGAGAGUCAGGAAGUUAAAGUACGGACAUUUUUUUCUGCUUGAACCCUACCACCUUGUUAAUCUGUAUGCAUUUUCAUCUAUCAUUUGUUAUCCACAUUUAAUAGGUUAAACUUUGACACUUAAUUGAUUCCAUCUAAAUUGUGAAAACAUUAUCUUCUGGGCAAAAGACAUCAAUGUGGUGACCUCAAACUUUUAAAAAGUUUGUAUACAUGGAAAAAAGAAGUAAUAAAGUAAGCAACAAUCUGUUGUUCCUGUCCUUCACUGACCAGGCUAUUCACUAAUACACAUUGCUUAAGUGAGCACAAAAUUUUGUAGUCAUCCUAAACUACAUGAUUUGUGAUCUUAUAAUUUUUGGCAAAAGAUAAGAAAAAAGAUAUCAAUAAAGUUCUAAGGCUGGUCCUGUAUCUGGCUGUCUUUUACAUCAACCCUGCAGAGAGAAUGAAUUUGCAGCUGUGGAACAACCAGUGGAAGCAUUUACAAACAUCCUUUUCUCAUCUGGAACCACAGGUAUCUUAAAGAAUAAAUCUCAUAAGUCUUCUUUACCCAUUUCACUUUAUUAGAAACUAGAAAGUGUCUUUCCUGAACUGAGCAUAACUUUGUGGUAUAAAUAUAUGAUUUUGGUGCCAAGCUAUCACCCUGCUUAAAGUAUGGCGGUAUUAUGUAGCUCUAGUGUCAAAUUAUUUGGUGCUUUAACUUUGAAAUUAUAAUUACUCUAUAAAUACCAACAAAAUUUUAGAUGUCUCGAAACUGGAAAAUGGAAGAAAGAAAUUUCCAGUUAGUUAUACGUCUGCAGUCAUCAAAGUAGUGGAAUCAUCUUCUUUUAAAAAAUAGAAAUAGAAAACAGAAAGACCACAGAAAAUGAGGACUAGUUUUGUUUCUUCAACACUGCUUUUAGUCAUAACAAAUCACAUUUGCUGCUAUUGAAUUUUUUUAUUUUUUAUUUUUAUGGAUUAAGUAAUAUGGGAAAUAACUUUAGAUUCAGCACAAAGAACUGUAAAUGAGUGCAAAACCAACUUUGGAAAAAAUUGGCAUGAUGUGUCCUGUCUACUGCUCUAUGGUAAUGGGGUUUUUGUUUCUAUGAAAAACUUCAAACUCUUGGAAUCCCUUCCGAUAAUCAUCUGUUUUGAGCUUCACUAACUGGAUAAAAGCGAAUAUUAACAGCUGGAUAACUAUAUGAUUCACGUCAAAAUUUAAGUAUGAUGAAACUCCAAGGUUACAUACCGAAAUUGCAUUUAGAGCUGCACAAUUGUCAUAAAACCUGAGUGAACUUAUUUCUGGCAUAGGGGAACCAAAAGCAAUUCCAUGGACCAAUGCAACGCCUUUUAAAGCUGCAGCAGAUGCAUGGUGCCACAUGGAUAUUCGUAAAGCCGAUAUUGUUGCUUGGCCAACUAACCUUGGGUGGAUGAUGGGUCCUUGGUUGGUUUAUGCAUCAUUGUUAAAUGGAGCUUCCAUAGCUCUAUAUAAUGGAUCCCCCCUUGGUUCUGGCUUUGCUAAGUUUGUACAGGUAGGAACCCCUUGAGUCUUGCCAUCUUGUUUGUUUGCUGUUUCCUAGUCAUGUUAUGGUGUUUUUGCCAUUAAUCUUGAUGCCUCAACAAACCUCUAGAUGAUAAAGUAUCCUAGGAGAAUGAUUUUCGCCAUUGUUUCAAAAUAUAUAAUUAUCAUGCUUGACAAUAUUAAUGUUACACAUCAUUUGGAAAGUUGCAUUGAGUCGGUAUUGGCAGCAAUUCAGUUCAGAGCACUAAAAACAAAAUGAAACAUUUGAAGUGCUCUGAGGACUCACCAUCCCUUGAUUAUUAUUUGACUUUGCCAUGAUGUGCAUUGAAACUCAUGGAAGGUACAACUUACUGGUUGGAUUGGUGACAUUUGAAUGCCAUAAGAUAGCAAUUCAUGGUGGGGUUGGAGGCGUAAAGUCCGCAAUUUUAUUGCCAGCUGUAGUUUGAUUUUCAUUAUUCAAAGUUGUAAUACUAUGCAGCUUCAAUUUUACAUUUGAUUGAUGCAUUUUGCUACUGGUCACUACAAGCAUGUAUAAGGUUUGCAAUUUUUAUGUUGGGUGUACCUUGAUCUUGGUUAUACAUGAAUCUUAUGUUUACAUCAAAAAAUAUACUUGAAUGAUGUCUUGUAUUAAAAUUUAUUCCUGUUCUUUUAUUGACGGAGUAAAUGCAGAAUGAUUUGGAGAGAAAUUUUAAAAUAGCUAGGCUGCUAGAAGUAACAAUCCUUUCUGUAUUUUGUCACACAUACAGCAUGUAGGGAUUUGGUAAUCUUUUUCAAUUUCAAUUACAUUUCCUGCAAUUCUCUAGGAUGCUAAAGUAACAAUGCUUGGUGUUGUCCCAAGUAUUGUUCGCACAUGGAAAAGUACAAACUGCAUAGAUGGCUAUGAUUGGUCUUCCAUUCGGUGAGUCCUCGAUGCCUCUACUGAGAUUGUUAUUCUUCACAUUUAGAUGCAUGUGAUUAUUUGAUGAAAAGUCAGUAAUAUAGGUCUUGUAGACUGUGCCGUAUAUAGAUAGUUUUGAGCUGUAAUUUUUUAUUUGUAAACUGGUAGGUGCUUUGGCUCCACUGGUGAAGCUUCUAAUGUAGAUGAGUACUUAUGGCUAAUGGGGAGAGCCCUAUACAAGCCUGUUAUCGAAUACUGUGGUGGUACAGAGAUUGGUGGUGGAUUUAUCACCGGAUCGUUAUUGCAGGCUCAGUCACUGGCUGCUUUCAGUACACCAGCUAUGGGCUGCAAGUUGUUCAUUCUUGGGAAUGAUGGUUGUCCUAUUGUAAGUACUGGAUACCUUACUUUAGUAUGUUGUGAAGAUCGACCAUUAUCAUAUUGAAAUGGGAGAUGUAUUUCCUGCUCCUUUUCCUUCUUACAAGUCCUAUAUUCUGUUUCUUGAACAAACCAUACAAAUUAUCUGGAAAUAAUUUUGUUUUGCUUUUCCCAAUUUUAGCCUCAAAAUGUGCCGGGGAUGGGUGAGUUGGCACUCAGUCCACUUAUAUUUGGUGCUUCAAGUACGCUGCUGAAUGCCAACCACUAUGAUGUCUACUUUAGUGGAAUGCCUUCCCGGAAUGGACAGGUAAACAGAACUUUAUUUCUACCUUCAUUCUAUUGUGUUCUCCGGGUUAAUUAAAUAUUUAUAUUGAAUCAAUUGUGCAGAUUCUUAGGAGGCAUGGGGAUGUCUUUGAGCGCACUUCUGGAGGGUAUUAUCGUGCACAUGGUCGUGCAGAUGAUACCAUGAACCUUGGGGGAAUCAAGGUAUGACAUGGGAUAUAUGGGAUUAGUAAAGGGAAUGGGUAGCUAAUAUGUUCAUUUUAAUACUCUGUUGCUUUUCUUUCAACUUUGGCUCGUGAACUUAGAACUGCCCACUUGCAUGUUUUCUUGACUUGUCUAUUUCGAGGGCUUUGUAAACUUUAUUUUUAAAGUUGGGCAUUCAAUCAUAUAAGAAAAUAUUGCAGUAGGGUAUAUAAAGAGCAAGCAUCUAUAGCUAAUGAUGUCAAAAUGGGAUGCUUACAGGAGUAGUUUAUGAUCAAAUCAAGCAAAAUGAUGCAUUGUCUGUUCUAAAAACAUCAUGUUCUCUUUGACAGGUUAGUUCAGUUGAGAUUGAGCGCAUCUGUAAUGCGGUUGAUAGCAAUGUGCUUGAAACAGCAGCCAUUGGUGUGCCACCACCUGAUGGUGGACCUGAGCAACUUACAAUAGUUGUUGUAUUCAAAGAUUCCAAUUACACGCCACCAGAUUUGAAUCAACUGAGGAUGUCUUUCAAUUCAGCAGUACAAAAGAAACUAAAUCCUCUGUUCAAGGUAUUGAUUUCAGCUCUUCAAACCUAGCCCAUCUGCCAAAUCAUUGAGGGCCAUUAACAUUCGAAUUGCAUGAUAAAAUGUGCUUGUGCAGGUCUCUCAUGUUGUUCCCCUUCCAUCCCUUCCAAGAACAGCAACAAAUAAGGUUAUGAGAAGGGUCUUGCGGAAGCAAUUAGCUCAACUUGAUCAAAAUUCUAAACUAUGAUCUAAACUUGUGAAUUUGUCAUAGCCGCCAAAGUACAGCCUGUAUUCAAACAUUGUCUUUGCACUGAAAGAAUAAUUUUAUCCCCCAUACUGUAAGUUAUAUAGCAACAAGUGGUUUCUUGAGAAAUGUCCUGUGAUUAAAAUAAAAAUGUUCAAUGUUAAAUCAGUACGAGUUUCACUUAUUUUGCUUACAGUGAAUUUUGGAUUAUGUAAAUAAUAAUAUUAGGGAUAUCAACAUUUGAGUCUAAAUAUCAAGGGUUAUUUAUCCCUCGGAAAAUAAAUUUCAUAAUUGGUAAAAUUACUUCAUCACUGUUUAAUGAAUGAAUGCUAUUGGUUGGACUUAAAUUGGAGUUCAAAUAUUGGUUUAUGCUUGAGAUUAAUUGUAAUGUAAUAUUUUUUUAAAGAAAAGAAUAAUAUUAUAAAAGACUUAUAUUGUUAAAACAAACACACACACAGACAAUAAAGAAGGUAAUUGGGCAUGUUUGAAACAAAAAAAGAGUGAUGCUAUUAGCAUCCCUCAAUUAUCCUUUUCAAAAGCCAUUUCUGUUUACAUCAUAUUUAAUUUCUAAAAUAAUUUUUAUUGUUUUUUUUUCUUAAUAAACCCCGUGAUUGACUCUUUUUUUCUGUCUCCCCCAUUUUAAUCCCCCCAUCAACUUCUUGAUGUAGUAUUUAUCAGCUACUUUUCUUCCCUUAAUAAAACCUAACAAGUGAUUCUCUCUCUCCCAUAAUCCCAUUCUAUUUUGAAAAGAAAUAAAGUAGGCACAAAAUGUAAUUUUCCUCUUAACAUGUUCAUAAAUUUAAUAAUCUAUAUAAACUUUACAAAAUUAUUUUUCCUGUAAAAAUAAAUUGUAAAUUAGUGAUUAAAACUUAUUUAAAAUCAAAUACUUAUUCUUUAAUUUCCUUUUUUUCUUUUUUUUCUUUUUUCUUUUUGUUUAUAAACUUUAUAGGUUUGAACAAUUUGUACUAGAGAAAGACACUGAGAGCAAAACCUCAUGGGGAUUUUAAUUAGAAAAGUUUUAAUUUUUAACACAAUUUAAAAUAUAAAAGAUAAAAAGAAAAUGAGUAAUUGGGCUUGGCCCGCGUAGUACUAGCGGACCCUGCGCAAGCUGCCAAUUCCUUCCAAUCGGGUUCUAAAAUUAAAACUUAAAAAGUCCUGAGAAGAUUAAAUCCUCUCGACCCGCUGGAGGCUGCGGUUCGUUUGUUGGAAGUGUUCUCAGCUGCGAUUCUUCCAAUAAACAAGUCAAUUGAGUUAAAAUUAAAAUUAAAUUAAUGUCAUCUCUUUUACUGUCAAACCCUAAUCUCUCCACUUCGUUCCUUCCCUGUAAGAUGUAAGCACCAUAUCCUACAUCAUUCAUAAACAUUUAACUUCCCUUAAUUUUGUUUCAUAUGUGUGGAUAAAAAUUGAAAUUUUUUUUUGUGGCAUCAAUUGUUAAAUUGAAUUGAUUUAAGGACUUGGGUAUUUGGUUUUUGUGCAGCCCUGGUUAUGAAAACACAAGAAAGGCGGCGUUUUGUCCCCUUUCUAGAAGCUCUAAAGUCACAAGAUGUGCUGUGGACACACCAUCUGGAGGUAUUGUUUCUCUGAUAUGAAUAGAAUUUUAGUGUAUUUGUAGGUUAGCUUGUUGCAUUUCCUACCAAAAGUAUACAAAACUUGUGUGGAAAUAGGAUAAUUUGAAUAUGCCACUCUAUCAUCGACGGUUUAUGACUCUUUCCAAUGGUAAAAGAGCCUGGCGAUUUUGUGAUAAUAGUACUGGAAUUCGUUGAGUGUUAAUGGCCAUUAAAUAAGUUACUGAAUAUAUUUUUCUCAGAAGUGUAAUGAAAGAGAUAAGAGGGUAUCUGAUAACAACAGUAAUAGAGAAAGGGCCGCCAGUAAACAAGAUAAUAAGCUCUUUGACAGUUAGUGGAGGAGAUAGAGGGUGUCUGCUAACUACGAUAAUAGAGAAAGGGCCCCUGGUAAUAAGUUCUUUGAUGGUAUGUGCUUGAUCAUGGUAUUUAUCAAAAGCGCUAACUGGGACUGAUAGGUGAAUAUUAUUAACAUGAGUUUGGUUUUCAAUUCUUACAUUAUCCUUAAAUGCUAGAACCAAUCCAUUUGAGCAUGAAUGAUUUAAGAUUGAAAACGUUGUGAUUCUUUGAGAAUGAUGGGAAUCUGAUUCACAAUUUUUAAAGAAGUUUAGGGUUUCUGAUGUAAGUUCUGAGCAGUACACGUAUAUGCAUACUGUUCUUCUAUAUGGAGAGCUGGUCGGCCUCCAAGGGGAUAAGCCCAGUUGGUUUAGCAUUUUGUAGCAGAGCAAAAGUUCAAGUGAUUGAUUUUCCCUCACAUCAUCCUUGGAAUGGAAAUUUUCUUUGAUUUGUGUUUGUGCAGGGGGUGGGUGUAAGGGUGAGUUGUGUAAAAUUUUUUUUUUGGGGGGGGGGGGGGUGGGGGUUGUGUGUAUGCCUGGUUAACGCAUACAAUCUUUUUAAUUCCAUGCAACAUCUAUAUGUUAUUUUGGUUUUUCGGGCGUGAAAUCAUUGUGGAUCUUUUUGGCGGGUUGAUAUUGUAUAUGCAUUUCUUUUGGGGAGGCAGGGGUGGAAUGAUGUUUCUUCUUGUGGUGAAAAACUUAUUGCUUCCUUCUUUUAUAUUGGUAAUGGAUGAGAAUCAUAUGGAAUUAUGUUGGGCACUAUCUAGUUAAAUGUUUGUGUGGGUUAUGUAUUGUAGCUGGAUAUUUGCUGUGGAACAACUAGGUGGUUAGAGCAAUCGAUGCCACCUGUUAACCUUUAGAGUUCCUGUGUUAGCAAUGAAUAGUCUAGUCAUGACCGCUAUUUAAUAGAUGGUUAAAUAUAUCAAAUUGUUGGCUAAUGCAGCGUUGGUAAUCAUGGGUUUGUGGAAUUUUCACCAUGUUGCAUAAGAUGUUUGUUAAUUGUGUACUCCUGGUGCUUUUCCAGUUGCUGCUGUAGUUUUCUGAUUUACUUUUCUGCUGGUUAUGUUUUAUAUUUUGGCCUUAUUAUUCAGGUAAUAUGCCAACAUUUUCUCGAAUAAAGGUUUGGGACCCUUAUAAACGUCUUGGAAUUAGUCCAUAUGCUUCAGAGGAAGAGAUUUGGGGAUCACGCAAUUUUCUCUUGGAACAAUAUGCUGGACAUGAGAGAAGUGAAGAAUCAAUAGAAGCUGCUUUUGAGAAAUUACUAAUGACCAGCUUCAGACGAAGGAAGAAAGAAAAAAUUAAUUUGAAAAGUAGGCUAAAGAAGCAAGUAGAAGAGUCUCCACCGUGGUUCAAAAACUUGCUCAAUUUUGUGGAGCUUCCUCCAAAGGAUGUUAUUUUUAGAAGAUUGUUUCUGUUUGCAUUCAUGGGUGGCUGGAGUAUCAUGAAUUCUGCUGAAGGUGGACCUGCUUUCCAGGUUUGUUCUUGUUGUGAUUAGAUUGUGACCGACUAUCUCUACAUGGUCAACAAAUUUUAUUCACUUGUGUCAGUUUUAUGCAUUAGGAAGAAGUCUUGACUUCUAAAUAGUCUCAUGAUCAGUAAGGUUUGUACAAAUAUUUUUCCAUUCCGAAUUAUAUUUGAAGUGUGCUGCUGUAACAACUCAUAUACAAUUGCUGUUCUAUAAGUUUAGGGCUUUUUUUAUUCCCCCUUUCUCGAUAGAAUUUUGUUGUUAUAUGAAUGUUCUAUGCAGCUGGUUACCCUUAAAAGGAGCCAUGUUAGUGGAAGGCUAGUUCUGAACAGUGCAUAAUCUGCCAUGUACAUCCUUCACUCGUGAGUGGGAUCCUAAAAUCCCACUGAACUCUGAAAUUGCAUUUUACUGCAUCUUCCUAGAUAUGUUCACUAUUCUUAGGUUCAAUCCUUCUUACACAUUGUAAUUCUAAUGUUGAACAAGCAGAUGAUGUCAUUGGAUGGAAAUUUUGUAUGUUUAAUAACAUUGCACAACUGUAUUUAAGUGCACUGAAACUGGACUAUAAUUUUAUGUACAGGUAGCUGUAUCUUUGGCUGCUUGCAUAUAUUUUCUUAAUGAGAAGACAAAGAGCCUGGCUAGAGCUUCAAUUAUUGGGUAAGCUUACUUAUGGAAAAAACUUAGAGUGGUGUUCUCAAAUCAAUUACAUGAUGGUUUGCAUUUCAACUCUUCCCUUAAUUUUCAUUUUCCCUCUGUUUCUUCGUUUCAAAUGAUGCUUGUUUCGUAAGUUACUAACAUUUUUAUGUGCUUCCAUUUCAGACUUGGAGCUCUUGCCAGCGGCUGGAUUCUUGGUUCCGUUGUUGUCCCAAUGAUUCCUACUGUUCUAAUACAUCCGACUUGGACACUGGAGCUUCUAACAUCGCUAGUAGCAUACUUCUUCUUGUUUCUCGCUUGUACUUUUUUCAAGUAAAGCUCCAACAUACUAUGUUCGUUUUGAAAUUAAGAGUUGAACCAAAACUACACUCUAUUACCAUUGUCAUUGGAUUUUUAACUCAUUCAUUUUACCCUUUCUAUUCUCCGGUACAUAUAGAGACUAGAGAGUACUGUGGAAUUAGGCAAUUGUGGUAGUAGUUUCAAUCCUGUGAACAAAUUUAUUCCCCCCCCCCCCAAAAAAAAAGUCAUCACGUGAAUCUUAAAAUUUCCUAGGUUCUUUUUAAGUAUUUCUUCAGUUAGAUAAUUGUAACAAUUUGUUUCGAGUACUCAGAAAUCUCUUGGGGAGUCUUCGUUCCAUUUUGUAUCUUGCUGCAAAUCCCGGACCACGCUAUGAGUUUCAACAAUAUAUGUAUAUGUACACACCAAGAUAGAAGCAAAACACACCCUAAUGCAGUUAGCAUCGAAACUGUCCGUGAAUACACAUUCAUUUGAAACAAAAGUGAAUGGUAGCUUAAUCACAUAUUUAAACCCCAAAAAAAUGAAAACAUCUAUUUUAUGACAAUAUAUAGAUAUGUCAACGGUAGAAUUUUCUGGUGUCACGUGUACUAUUGUUCCUCUUUGCCCAGCAACCAACAAUGUAUGUGAAAAUAAGGAAUACAAGGGCGCAUAGGUUAGCUAUAAGCAAAUUUUCCCAUUGACUCCUGAUGCUGUCAACAAAUCCUGCUUUGCAUGCAUUGCAAUCAAAGCACAGCGUCUGUUGCUGAUUGUUCCAUGCCUUGCAGUCGCUGUCAUCAACGGCUGGCCCUGUUUUCGGGGCUAUCCAGAACGUCGCAUUCUGGCUAUUGAAUCCACAUUCAGACGGUGGCUUGCAGCAACUAGACUGAAGAUGAGAAAACAAUAGUGUUGUUUAUACUGGAUAUAUCACACAAAUGUAGACUGGAGAGGAGUGAGAUUAAAUGAAGAUGUACCAUGAGACACUGAGUUAUAGAUAACAUUAAAUGUAAAAUUUAAAACAAAGAAUGAAAGACCUGUAACAUCUUAUAAUUCUUCAUGGUAUAUCAUCUAAAUUUUAGUAUCUGGCUUGAAGAAUAAGUGUUUCAACUUUUCAAUAACGAAUAAGUGUUUGAAUUUUUCUCGAAAGUAAUGACCAAGAAUUCAGAGGAGCCCGUUGGAGAAUUAUAUAUGGAUACAUUUAUGCAAGCAGGCAAAACAAGUAAAUGCAUAGCUUGAACAUUGAAGAUAUAUAUUUACAUAGAAUGAUAAACCUUGAGUUUGGGUAAAUUGUAUAACAUAUUCACCGAUUUAUUACAAAUAACAACUAGUUUAAUUAAUAUUUUCAAAAUAAAUAUAUACAUCACAUGAUUUUAUUCAAUUGUCAUGCAGAUAACAUUGUGUGCUAACAUGGUCAGUUUGUACAAAGAAUUUAUGUCUCUUGAAUCACUCUUUUCAUUGAUACGGAUUGUAACAGAGUGGUCUAUAGCAUCUAGUGAUAUCGCCCCAUAAUAUUUGACUACUAACGCUUAAAACAGCUAAUAGAUGUCAAUGUCAUGAUUUCUUGAAGUGCCAAUAAUGAAGCAACCAUACAAGGAAAAUAUAUCGAUUACUAUUUGUUAUAUUCACAUUCAACCACCAUGGAAAGACUGUCAACUUGGUCAGCUUUUCAAACUUUAAUGCUAAAUGAUCAUUUAAUGGGGAGAAAAAGAAAAAAAGAAAAAACCUAAACCCUGCAUUAAUUUCCCGUUUCAUAUAUCCUAUUGUCAUUAAGUAAAAUAACAAUAUAUGAGAAAGCCAGUUUAAUUAAUUAAUUUACCUGGAUAGGAGACAGAUUCAAGUGAGCAGCCUUCUCAAAUGCAUUAUUUUGAAUCUUACAAACCUUAGAAUCUUUCAAACAAGUCCUAAUCUCAUUCCACUUCUUCCCAUUAACAAAAUGAUUCUUCAACCAAUUUUGAAAAUCCCCACUCCUGAAACCCUUAAUCCCUUUAUGCGAAACCGCCUUAGCGGCAUCCUCAUUUGUGAUCAGAAACGAGAAGAUUAUGAAGACAACAAGGCCAACAAUCAACAAGAACAACACGAUCAAAUAAAUGAGCAAUAUGGCAUUAGUCCUACAGCAAGAACCGAUCAAACCUAGCAAUGACACGAUGAACAAGACGAUACCCGAUACAAAUAAAGGGUCUGAUAGCUCUUUCUGGCAAUGUGUGGAGCUAUGGACGUAGAAGAACGACGCAAUGGCAAUGGCUAUUAGCCCUAAUACAAGAGAAAUGCAGUUCAGGAACCCCACAAUGAAGUUGCUUACACGAACCAUAUUAUUUCUUUUGAAAGAUUCAAGAUUCUUGUUAAUUUGUUGAAUAUUGAUUGGAUUUUGUUCCCAGCGGUUUGUUAGAAAUAAAUUAGUGAGAAAAAUGAGAAAACCCAGCGAGAAGAAGAUGUCUCUUAACUGCUUUUAAAUUUUGAUUGAGAAUUAAAUAUGGUAUCAAGGGAAAGUGCUCUUUUAAUUCCUAAAAUUUGAGUUAAUUAUAUUCAGUCUGUCCUCGUUAUUUAUUUGUUUUUUGUAAAAUUUACUUAACAUAUUGGUAUGUUAAAUUCGUUUGAAUUUUAAGUUUUAUCGUACAAAAUAUUAUUUUUCCCUUGGACCCAAAACUUUUGAAAAUAAAGACAGAAAUAUUUUGCAUAAGUUCUAAAAAUAAGGAGCUAAAUUCAUAAUUAACCCAAACUUUAAGGACUAAAAAAGAAUUUAUUCAAAUAUUAAUCCAUGCAACGGUUGCUUUGUCUUAAUUUAAUUUAAUUUUAAUUGGUUUUGAAAGAUUUGAAAGAAAGGUUCAAUUUUCAUGCUGGAUUUUCGUCUUGUAACGUAUACGUGUCAUAAUGGCGUGGGAGAAUAUUGGAGUGUAUGAAUUGUUUUGCCAAGUGUGUUACAUUGGAUAUCAUGUCACUAUGAAUGUGAUUGAUAUCAUAAAACCAUUGAUUUUAAUUUAUAAUUAAGUAGAAUGGGAUCUUCGAGAAAGAAAAAAGUCUCUUUUGUUCCCUCUUUUGAUUGUAUUUAUGAUACUAAACACAAUUUUGUUAUAUAAUAAUUUUGUUAUACAAUAACGGAACUGUGUAAAAUCGGCAUUUGUGGACUCUUACAAGAAAUUUUUAAUACAAUAAUGAUUGAAAGAAACUUUGUUAAAUAUGAACUAUUACAUAAAUUUAUUAUAUGGGUCAAUUUCCUUUUAGUCUCUAAGGGCAUGUUUGGUUGUUGUAUUAUAACUCCUCAUUGCAUUAACUUUAUACAAGCCCAUAUUUGAUAAGUUAAAAGCUACAGAAACACUGCAUAAUGGGUCAAUUUAAUGCAGCAGUUUGCCACAUUAGCUAAGCCCGACUGUAAGUUGGGUUCNNNNNNNNNNNNNNNNNNNNNNNNNNNNNNNNNNNNNNNNNNNNNNNNNNNNNNNNNNNNNNNNNNNNNNNNNNNNNNNNNNNNNNNNNNNNNNNNNNNNNNNNNNNNNNNNNNNNNNNNNNNNNNNNNNNNNNNNNNNNNNNNNNNNNNNNNNNNNNNNNNNNNNNNNNNNNNNNNNNNNNNNNNNNNNNNNNNNNNNNNNNNNNNNNNNNNNNNNNNNNNNNNNNNNNNNNNNNNNNNNNNNNNNNNNNNNNNNNNNNNNNNNNNNNNNNNNNNACGGUACAGCAGAAUAUAAAUAAAUGAUUUAUUGUUCAAUAAUAUUAUAUUAUAUUUUUUAUUUUUACAUUUUAAUUUAUUAAUAAAUUUACAAUUUAUUAUGACUAAUAAUAAAUAUUUAAAUAUGAAUAAUAUUAAUUUAAAAUUAAUAAUAAUAAUAAUAUAAUUUAAUAUUUAAUUUAAAUUAAUCACAAAAAAAUCAAUACAGUACAGUGUAGCACCAAACAUUAUACAACAUUAUUAUAAUACGGUACUAAUACAAUACAACAUAAUACAAUACACCAGUAUUAAAAUAAUGAAAUACAACAUAAUAUAAUACAAUGUACUAAACGCACCCUAAGUAAUUUAUUAAUUAAUUAACUAUUAUUUACGUAUAUGGAGAUUCUUUACCUUUUUUUUUAAUUAAUUAACUAUUAUUUAUAUAUAUGGAGAUUCUUUACCUUAGUUUAACAUAUGUCGUUAUUCUUCCACGCGCCUUUAAUUGAUUUACACGAGUAUCACAAUGGUUCCAUUGGAACAAUCUUAUUAUGCAGUUCCCAUCCGACAACUUCAAAGUGUUACAAUUGUUUAGUUUAUACAAAAUGUAUUUACACGGUACAGCAGAAUAUAAAUAAAUGAUUUAUUGUUCAAUAAUAUUAUAUUAUAUUUUUUAUUUUUACAUUUUAAUUUAUUAAUAAAUUUACAAUUUAUUAUGACUAAUAAUAAAUAUUUAAAUAUGAAUAAUAUUAAUUUAAAAUUAAUAAUAAUAAUAAUAUAAUUUAAUAUUUAAUUUAAAGCUUUAAAAAAAAAAAAAAAAAAAAAUUGUUGUUUAGUUGUCAAUAAAUUUUUUUAUUAAAAAUUAAAAUUUUUUAAUAGAUAAAUUUUUUUAAAUUAUGUUGUAAAAUAAAUAAAAUAAAACUGUUAAAUAAGUAAAAUAUAUUUUAGAUAUUUUAAUAUUUUAAAAAGAAUUUUUAAACUCUACUUUUAAAAAUCUAAAAUUUGAGUUUUUACUAAUAUAGGCAAAAUAGUUUAUUUAAUCUUCAAAAAACAACUAAUAAAAUUUUUAAAAAUGCUUAUGCCCAUUAAAUAAGCAAUACCGAACAUAUACUUUAACCAUUUAUUAGUACAAAGUCUAGCAUGAUUGGCAAUUAUUAGGUGCCUUUCAAUGUUAACAUCCGCUAAAACAUCUUCUUAAAAAAGUUACAUACUACCAGAAGUAUGUACUGAGUUUCUAAAGGAAGAAUGUACAGCUUCUUGUACUAAUUAACAUUCUAAGAGUAGCCUCUACCUUAGGGACUCGACUAGCUUACAGAAUCUGUAAGGAACAGACUGCAGCAUCAGCCGUUGGAUGUGGUUGGAUGUGGAGUGAGAAACUAAACAAUAGAAAAUCCGAUGGUGGGAUAACGGGAGAUGUUUGUUACAGAAUCUGUACCAUAGACAGGUCCCUACCUUAGUAUCCAAUGAAUUGAUCAUAUCGAAUGUUCUUCCUCACGCAACAACCAAUCCAGAAGAUGAUAAUUAAAAAGCCAAUAACACAUGCAUUGAGUACGGCCAGAAGCCUCCACUCCCUCUUGAUAUUGGCAAGAACACCACCUUUACAUGAAUUGCAAUCGUAACAAAGCUGCUUCUGGUCGUUGCUGAACAUCGCGCAGUCACUGUCACUCACCGCCGGUCCAUUUUCUGGCAUUGUCCAGAACGUCGCGUUCUUGCGUUCCAAUCCGCAGUACACCGGUGGCUUGCAACAGCUUGACUGAAUAUUGAAACAACUCCAUUGUUAGCCCAAAGCGAUUACGCAUAACACACCCACUCACACAUCUCUAUGUAUGUAUGUAUGUAUGAGUGAGAAUGACACGUUGGUCCUCAAUAUUUCUCAUUAUUAUCACUUUUUUUUUUCAAAUUUACCCAUAGAGUCCUACAUGUAUGCAAAUUUUACUGUUGGAAGAUAAAUGUAAUCUUCAGUAUUCAAAAUUUUUCCUCUCUUUUCACAAACACAUCAAGAAUAAACUGACAACAAAAAUACAAUUGUAAAAUUAUUCAAAAAAAUAUAUUUGCUAUUAAUGUUUUAUGUGGGGGUUUAAUACCGAGUGUCAUUCUCCCUUUAACACAUGUUCCUACAUUAAUAUUUAUUGAAAAAAUAUUUUACGUGUUGUAAUCCAAACACUAUAGGAAUGCUUUAAUCACUUUAAAAGCACUUUUGAGAAAAAAACCAAAAGCAUUUCGAAAUAAAAGCAUAGGCCAUAAAUUUAGCUCUUCCGAAAUACAUAUCCAGGUCAAAUUGUGGCCAUAUAAAACUAAUUGUUCGAUAUAAGGCAAUAAAAUUAAAAAAUGAAUGAAAGUACCUGUACUAGAGACCAAUCCUUUAAGUCUUUGUUACCAAGAUUUCUGCAGACGUUUGCGUCAGCCAAACAACUCCUAAUCUCUUGCCAAUUUUUACCAUCAGCAAGGCGAUUUUGCAGCCAAUAAGAGUAAUCAUGAAGCCGAUUCUGCGACACUUUUUUACCCACAAACGUGUUGGUAACGAUGAGCACAAAAACCGUGAAAGCUAUGAGCCCUAAUAUCGAAAUGAGCAUCACAAACAAAUAAAUACACAGCAGCCAAUCAGUCCUGCAACAUGCACCCACCAACCCUAACGUCGACACAAUCAACAAGAACAGACCCGUCACCAACAACGGCAUUUCUAGGGUUUUUUGACAAGCUGAGCCGUCAUGCAUUUGCACAUACGCUGAACAGAAGACGGCGGCGAAACCCAUUGCAAGUGAUAUUAAGUUUAAGGCUAUGAACAUUGCAUUGCUAAAGCGAGGCAUUGUGUGUUGUGUUGUGUAAUUGAAUUUUUCUAUUUUUUUAUUUUUUGGUGAAAAAGAGUGGUGUGAUGAUAUUUAUGUAAAUGUUGGUUGUUGCUGUUAAGAGAAAAAGGAAGAAAUAAAACAGAAUAGUAGGUAAGAUCUUCUUCUUUUUUGGGGGGGAUUUGUAACGGACUUUAUGUCUAUGGAAAUAUAUUAACUUUUGUUAUUGAAUUCAAUAUUCAUAAACGAGUGUAAAAUUAAUUAAUUAAUUAUUGAUUUGAGUCAAUUUGGAAACUAUUUAUACUUAAAAUUUUUUUACUAGGAAAUAUUUUGUAUUAUAUAUAAACACACACACAUACAUAUAUAAAAGUAAAGUAUUAAAGAAGAAAUAUCCAAGUUGUUUAUUAAUAAUUAAUAUUACUUUUUUUUUGUUUUUCUUUAGAAUAAAAAAUGAAUUAAAGAGAUAACAAGUAGUAUUUAUUGAUGAAGGAUGACAAAGUAGUAAUUUGUUAAAUUUUAAAUGAUUUUGUUAAAGAAUAAAUAGAAACACAAACAAUAAAUUGAUUAAUUAAUUAAUAUCCAUAAAAAUAAUUUUUAAAAGGUAAAAAAACAACUCAUCAGCUCUGAUUACAGCUAAUUAAGUGUUAAAGAAAAAACUUUUAUAUCAGAAUAUUCCAAUAGAUAAACAAACCAGUAAACUAAAUCAGUUCUAAGUAUAUAUGUCGUUAAUUUCAGAUUCAUUGUUGUUCUACUUUGUUUAAACUUUAAAUCUAAACAUUUAUAAUAAAAAAUCUAUCUCUUAAGGUUAUUAUAGAUCAAGUCUAUUUAAAGCCAAUAAUUUAUUGCAAAAGCCAAGAACUAUUUGUUAAUAACAAAUGACAAGCUAUAUUAUAUAUCAUGAUUGGUUAUGACAACUGAAACAAGCUUCGAGUUUUGUUAGCACCAAGUCGAUCGGUCUUCUCAUUAGAAACGUAGUUUCCUUGUAACGAACAACAACAUGAUAAGGACUCACGGGUAGAACUCACCCAAAAAUCAACUUGUAAGGGCGGGUGUCCAUAAGUUUAUAUUCUCAUUUACGUUGUUGUAUUCUUUCCAUCUGAGAUAUUACCCAAUCAUUCUCAAUUCGGUGAUUUCGUUGAUCUCAUCUUUUUCUGAGUAGGAGCACCAUUCAGAUUUGCCCAAUCUAUAACAUUGGUCAUGAAUCUCAUCUUUUUCUGAGUAGAAACCCUUUCCAGGUUGCCCCAUAUGUAACAUCGCGAUCAUGAAUCUCUAUCUUUUUCUAAGUAGCAAAUUCACCCUAUUCGUAACAUCGAGGUCACGGAGCCGUACCCAUACACCGAUUCCAUACUGGAUGUGAUGCCUGCUCUAAUACCAAAUAAUAAGGAUCAAUGAGUAGAUCUUGUUGGAGAAUUAAUAAAUAAAACACACAAAAAACACACUAUUUUAUUUCUUCAACAACACUCCUCAUCAAUUACAACUCUUAUUUUUCACUCUCUACACCUUAGAGAUUUUGCUACUUCACUUGAUUUUUAAACCAAAGGGGAGAGAGGGUAUUUAUACAUGAAACAAACUAAUCACAACCAUUCAUUUAUUCAACUAAUAAACAAAUUCUCACCAUCCAUUAAAACCUACCACUCACCUACUUCACCAACCACACCUAACACACCUAACACAAAUAAUUCAAACCUCACCAACCAUACCUACUCAUGGAACCUUCCAUGAGUUGGGCUUGAUUUAUUCAUCUUGGAUCAAGUUUAUGAUCCAACACCUCCCCUUAAAUUUGAUCCUGUGACACCAAGCAAAUUUCUGAAUCUUAUAAAGUCUUCUUGCUUGAGUGGCUUAGUGAAGAUAUCAGCUGCUUGAUCUUGUGAUUUUACAUACUUGAUUUGCACUUCUUUUCUUGCAAUACACUCUCUUAUGAAAUGAUAGCGAGUGUCUAUGUGUUUACUUCGAUCAUGAAAGACUGGAUUCUUGGAUAGGGCAAUUGCUGAUUUGUUAUCAACACAAAUCUCAGUUGGCUCUUCUUGUGCCAAACUCAACUCCUUCAGCAAAUUUCUGAGCCAAAUUGCAUGACAAACACUUGAUGUGGCAGCUACAUAUUCAGCUUCACAGGUGGAUAGAGUGACAAUUGGUUGCUUCUUUGACAUCCAUGUGAAAGCAGUAUCUCCCAUGAAGAACACAAAUCCUGUUGUGCUCUUUCGAUCAUCUACAUCUCCACCCCAAUCGCUAUCGCUAUAUCCAACAAGCUUAUAGUCAUUAGAAAAUGAGUACAGCAAGCCGAAAUUAGUUGUACCUUUGAUGUAGCGAAGGAUUCUUUUUGCAGCUUUAAAAUGAGUGGUCUUUGGAUUCUCCAUGUAUCGGCUCACAAGUCCAACAGCAUAAAGAAUAUCUGGUCUUGUGCAUGUCAAAUAACGUAGGCUUCCAACCAAACUUUUAAAGAAUGUUGGAUCUAUAUCUUCGCCUUCAUCAUGUUUGGAUAACUUGACUCCGCAUUCCACUGGCGUGCUUAUAGGCUUGCAAUCAUUCAUCUUGAACCUUUUGAGAAUCUCCUUUGCAUAACUUUCUUGGGAGAUAAAUAUGUCUUCUUCAUUUUGCUUGACUUCAAUGCCGAGGUAAUAUGCCAUCAGUCCGAUGUCAGUCAUCUCGAACUCUUUGAUCAUCACUCUUUUGAACUCUUCAAACAAGCUUGGAUUACUUCCAGUGAAGAUGAGAUCAUCCACAUACAGGCACACAAUCAAAAUAUCUCCAUCUUUUUCUUUGACGUAGAGAGCAUGUUCAUAUGGGCAUUUGGUGAAGCCUUUCUCUUGAAAAUACUUGUCAAUUCUGCUAUUCCAUGCCCUUGGUGCUUGCUUUAACCCGUAAAGAGCUUUCUUCAAUCUCAAAACUUUGUCUUCAUGUCCUUUCACCACAUAGCCUAAUGGUUGUCCGAUGUAAACUUCUUCUUCAAGGAAUCCAUUCAAGAAAGCAGACUUCACAUCCAUUUGAAAAAUCUUUCAUUUGUUCUGAGCAGCCAAAGAAACAAUAAGUCUAAUAGUUUCAAGUCGAGGUACAGGAGCAAAUACCUCGUCAUAGUCUAUGCCAGCCUUUUGACUAUAGCCUUUUGUAACUAGCCUCGCCUUGUGCCUUUCAAUUUCUCCCUUCGCAUUUCUUUUUGUUUUAUACACCCAUUUGACACCGAUCGCCUUGUGACCUUUUGGAAGAGUAGUAAGCUCCCAAGUAUCAUUCUUCACAAUGGCUUUGAUUUCUUCAUCCAUUGCCAUUCUUUACUUCUCAUCUAGUGCAGCUUCUUGGAAGUUGACUGGCUCACAAUUAGCAAAGAGGCAAAAGAGAGUGAGAUUAUCAUGUCUCUUAGUUACCUCAUAGAGAUCUUGAAGACUCCUUGUGCAUUCUUCGGUUCUUUCAUUUAAGAAAUACGGCGGUGAAUCUCCGCAUGUGGUUGAUGCUGGUGAGAUAGGUGGAGUGGCAGGCUCUUGUUGUUCGUCUACUUGUUUUAUCUGUGUAUGAUCAUCUUCUUCAAUGGGAAAGAAGUUGAAGUCAUCCACACCUGAGUCAAAAUCACAUUCUCCUUCUUCAUCAAAAACUACAUCUCGACUAAUCACGAUAUUCCCAUUGUUUGGAUUGUAAAGCUUGUAUCCUUUGGAGUUGUUGUCGUAGCCGAUGAAGAUGAACUUCUCACUUUUGUCAUCCAGCUUGGCUCUACUUUCGUCUGGUACAUGUACAUGGGCAAUGCUUCCGAAAACUCUUAGAUGGGUGAUGCCGGGUUUUCUUCCACUCCAAGCUUCUUGUGGCGUCUUGCCCCACACGCUUCUUGUUGGAGAUCGAUUGGAUAAGUAGACUGCACAUGCAACAGCUUCAGCCCAAAAUUCUUUAGGUAGCCUCUUACUCUUAAGCAUGCUUCUUGCCAUAUCGAGGAUGGUUCUGUUCUUCCUUUCUACAAUACCAUUUUGUUGGGGGGAUCUUAGAACUGUCAAAGGGCGUCGAAUUCCAUAUGCUUCACAAAACUCUAAAAAUUCUUUGGAAGUGAACUCUCCACCUCGAUCAGAUCUCAUGGCUUUAAUCUGGUAUCCACUUUCUUUUUCAACUGCAGCUUUAAACUUCUUGAAAGCUUCAAAAACUUCUGAUUUUUGCUUCAAAAAAUACACCCAAGUUUUUCUUGAAAAAUCAUCUAUGAAGAGAAGGAAGUAGUUACUUUUACCAAGGGAGUUUGGCUUGAAUGGACCGCACACAUCAGUAUGAAUGAGCUCGAGUGGCUUCUGAGCUCUUGAGUUUGACUCCUUUGGAAAGCUCUUUCUGAAUUGCUUGCCAAGUAAACAUCCUUCACAAAGUUGAUCAGGGUGAUUGAUGUAUGGUAACCCUUUCACCGUGUUCUUCUUGAAUAGUAUCUUUAGUCCUCCAAAGUUGAGAUGCCCAUAUCGAAGAUGCCAAGUCCAGGAUUGAUCUUUGUGACAGGCUUUGAGACAUUUUGCAACAUCAUUUUAAAUAUUUAAAGGAAACAUUCUAUUCUUCGACAUUUUCACCUUUGUAAUUAGAUUUCCUUUAUCAUCUCUUAGGAAAAGUACAGCAGAACUUGCAAUGUAAUGGAGAAAUAUGAAGGAGAAUGUGGUUUAAAAAACUUUUUAAGUUUUUUUUUUUAAAAAAAAAUCGAAAAGUAAAGGGUUUUUCAAUUUUCACCGCGUACCCAUUCUGCUAGAUUUGCCCUAACGGUUGUAUUCCUUUCUCAAAAGGGUGGGGCUAUUUGAACCCCUAAUUUACUCAAUAAAUUUAUUUUUAAAAAUAAUUUUUUAUUAUUAAAAUAUUCUUAAAUUAAAUUACAGUUAUGGACACUAGAAUAUAAUUUAAAAAAAAAACUGAAUUUUUAGUCUUUAAACCUAUCUUUAUAUUCAACAUAGUUUCAUAGAAUUCUAAUCAAAUUUUCAUUAAACUCUAAAAUGAUAGCGAGUGUCUAUGUGUUUACUUCGAUCAUGAAAGACUGGAUUCUUGGAUAGGGCAAUUGCUGAUUUGUUAUCAACACAAAUCUCGGUUGGCUCUUCUUGUGCCAAACUCAACUCCUUCAGCAAAUUUCUGAGCCAAAUUGUAUGACAAACACUUGAUGUGGCAGCUACAUAUUCAGCUUCACAGGUGGAUAGAGUGACAAUUGGUUGCUUCUUUGACAUCCAUGUGAAAGCAGUAUCUCCCAUGAAGAACACAAAUCCUGUUGUGCUCUUUCGAUCAUCUACAUCUCCACCCCAAUCGCUAUCGCUAUAUCCAAUAAGCUUGUAGUCAUUAGAAAAUGAGUAUAACAAGCCGAAAUUAAUUGUACCUUUGAUGUAGCGAAUGAUUCUUUUUGCAGCUUUAAAAUGAGUGGUCUUUGGAUUCUCCAUGUAUCGGCUCACAAGUCCAACAGCAUAAAGGAUAUUUGGUCUUGUGCAUGUCAAAUAACGUAGGCUUUCAACCAAACUUUUAAAGAAUGUUGGAUCUAUAUUUUCGCCUUCAUCAUAUUUGGAUAACUUGACUCCGCAUUCCACUGGCGUGCUUAUAGGCUUGCAAUCAUUCAUCUUGAACCUUUUGAGAAUCUCCUUUGCAUAACUUUCUUGGGAGAUAAAUAUGUCUUCUUCCUUUUGCUUGACUUCAAUGCCGAGGUAAUAUGCCAUCAGUCCGAUGUCAGUCAUCUCGAACUCUUUGAUCAUCACUCUUUUGAACUCUUCAAACAAGCUUGGAUUACUUCCAGUGAAGAUGAGAUCAUCCACAUACAGUCACACAAUCAAAAUAUCUCCAUCUUUUUCUUUGACGUAGAGAGCAUGUUCAUAUGGGCAUUUGGUGAAGCCUUUCUCUUGAAAAUACUUGUCAAUUCUGCUAUUCCAUGCCCUUGGUGCUUGCUUUAACCCGUAAAGAGCUUUCUUCAAUCUCAAAACUUUGUCUUCAUGUCCUUUCACCACAUAGCCUAAUGGUUGUUCGAUGUAAACUUCUUCUUCAAGGAAUCCAUUCAAGAAAGCAGACUUCACAUCCAUUUGAAAAAUCUUCCAUUUGUUCUGAGCAGCCAAAGAAAUAAUAAGUCUAAUAGUUUCAAGUCGAGCUACAGGAGCAAAUACCUCGUCAUAGUCUAUGCCAGCCUUUUGACUAUAGCCUUUUGCAACUAGCCUCGCCUUGUGCCUUUCAAUUUCUCCCUUCGCAUUUCUUUUUGUUUUAUACACCCAUUUGACACCGAUCGCCUUGUGACCUUUUGGAAGAGUAGUAAGCUCCCAAGUAUCAUUCUUCACAAUGGCUUUGAUUUCUUCAUCCAUUGCCAUUCUUUACUUCUCAUCUAGUGCAGCUUCUUGGAAGUUGACUGGCUCACAAUCAGCAAAGAGGCAAAAGAGAGUGAGAUUAUCAUGUCUCUCAGUUACCUCAUAGAGAUCUUGAAGACUCAUUGUACGUUCUUCGGUUCUUUCAUUUAAGAAAGGCGGCCGUGAAUCUCCGCAUGUGGUUGGUACCGGUGAGAUAGGUGGAGUGGCAUGCUCUUGUUGUUCGUCUACUUGUUUUAUCUGUGUAUGAUCAUCUUCUUCAAUGGGAAAGAAGUUGAAGUCAUCCACACCUGAGUCAAAAUCACAUUCUCCUUCUUCAUCAAAAACUACAUCUCGACUAAUCACGAUAUUCCCAUUGUUUGGAUUGUAAAGCUUGUAUCCUUUGGAGUUGUUGUCGUAGCCGAUGAAGAUGAACUUCUCACUUUUGUCAUCCAGCUUGGCUCUACUUUCGUCUGGUACAUGUACAUGGGCAAUGCUUCCGAAAACUCUUAGAUGGGUGAUGCCGGGUUUUCUUCCACUCCAAGCUUCUUGUGGCGUCUUGCCCCACACACUUCUUGUUGGAGAUCGAUUGGAUAAGUAGACUGCACAUGCAACAGCUUCAGCCCACAAUUCUUUAAGUAGCCUCUUACUCUUAAGCAUGCUUCUUGCCAUAUCGAGGAUGGUUCUGUUCUUCCUUUCUGCAACACCAUUUUGUUGGGGGGAUCUUGGAACUGUCAAAGGACGUCGAAUUCCAUUUGCUUCACAAAACUCUAAAAAUUCUUUGGAAGUGAACUCUCCACCUCGAUCAGAUCUCAUGGCUUUAAUAUGGUAUCCCAUUUCUUUUUUAACUGCAGCUUUAAACUUUUUGAAAGCUUCAAAGACUUCUGAUUUUUGCUUCAAAAAAUACACCCAAGUUUUUCUUGAAAAAUCAUCUAUGAAGAGAAGGAAGUAGUUACUUUUACCAAGGGAGUUUGGCUUGAAUGGACCGCACACAUCAGUAUGAAUGAGCUCGAGUGGCUUCUGAGCUCUUGAGUUUGACUCCUUUGGAAAGCUCUUUCUAAACUGCUUGCCAAGUAAACAUCCUUCACAAAGUUGAUGAAGGUGAUUGAUGUAUGGUAAGCCUUUCACCAUGUUUUUCUUGGAUAGUAGCUCCAGUCCUCCAAAGUUGAGAUGCCCAUAUCGAAGAUGCCAAGUCCAGGAUUGAUCUUUGUAAGAAUGUUGCUUUUCAUAUUGGGCACAUAGUAAACAUUCGAAAUUAUUUGGUGACUACCAUCUUUUGCACGAAAAAGAAUGUUACCUCUACCCUUCACUGGUACUUUUGAAUCAUCUCCAAAGGCAACACUGUCAUUCACAAAUUCACGUAACUGCACGAACAUGCUUUUGUUCCCACUCAUAUGAUUGCUAGCACCUGUGUCAAGAUACCAUGUAUUUUCUUGACCCCCACUUGUGUUAUUGCGUGCUAGUAAAAGUGUGCCAUCUUCACUAUUUUUCUCUUCAGCAUAGUUCACUCUCUCUUCAAUUCUGGUGCUUGGAGCUCUGCAUUCUGAAGCAUAAUGCCCAAACUUUUGACAAUUAUAGCACUGUACUUGGGAUUUGUCAUACCUCGAUCUUGGAUUGCCUCUGCCUCGUCCUCUAGUUGAGCUUUCUCCUUUGGCAUAAUUGGAGUUGUUGUUGUUGAAAUUCCAACCUCGUCCAUGACCACGACCUCUACCUCGUCCUCGACCUCUACCUCGGACAUAGUGCCUUCUCUCGUUGUCGGAGCUUUCUUCUCUUUUCUUUGGAUUGACUUCCAUCUUGAGAAGUUGUUCUUCGAUUCCUUGCUUCUUUUUUUGUUUUUCUUCAUAGGCUUGUAACCUUCCUUGAAGUUGCUCGAUCGUCAUAUCCUCCAAAUCUCUUGUUUCUUCAAUUGUCACAACAAUAUGGUCAAACUUCGAGUCUACUGAUCGAAGUAUCUUUUCAAUGAUCCUUAUCUCUUUUAACUCCUCGCCAUUUCUUUUUAACUCAUUGGAAACGGUCACAACCCGAGUAAAGUAGUCAGAAAUUGACUCUGAUACCUUCAUAUGUAAG